GACGAACGCUGGCGGCGUGCUUAACACAUGCAAGUCGAGCGGUAAGGCCCUUUCGGGGGUACACGAGCGGCGAACGGGUGAGUAACACGUGGGUGACCUGCCCUCAGCUCUGGGAUAAGCCUGGGAAACCGGGUCUAAUACUGGAUAUGACUCCAUGACGCAUGUUGUGGGGUGGAAAGCCUUGUGCGGCUGAGGAUGGGCCCGCGGCCUAUCAGCUUGUUGGUGGGGG
rnacentral:rRNA from 1 species